UGCCUGUUAAGGAUAUUCUCAACUCGAUGC
rnacentral:piRNA from 1 species